GGSAGCAGUGGGGAAUAUUGCACAAUGGGGGCAAGCAUGAUCUCUUCAUGUUGSAAGAMUGUUGAAGGCCGUAGGGAAGUAAAGUUCUUUUAUGCGGGAAGAUAAUGACUGUACCGCAAGAAUAAGCCCCGGAUAAUUUCGUCCCAGCAGCCGCGGUAAUACGAAGGGGGCGAGCGUUUUUGGGAUUCACUGGGCGUAAAGGGUGCGUAGGCGGUUUUUUAAGUCAGAGGUGAAAUCCCGGGGCUCAACUCCGGAACUGCCUUUGAUACUGAGGAUUUGGAGUUCGGGAGAGGUGAGUGGAAUUCCGAGUGUAGAGGUAAAAUUCGUAGAUAUUGGGAGGAACCCCAGUGGCGAAGGCGGCUCCCUGGCCCAAUACUGACGCUGAGGCACGAAAGCGUGGGGAGCAAACGGGUUUAGAUCCCCUGGUAGUCCACCCCYUAAACGAUGAAAACCAGCCUUUGGGAACUUUACUCUUCAGUGGCGCAGCUAAC
rnacentral:rRNA from 1 species